AGAGUUUGAUCCUGGCUCAGGAUGAACGCUAGCGGCAGGCUUAAUACAUGCAAGUCGAGGGGCAGCAGGGGUAGCAAUACUCGCUGGCGACCGGCAAACGGGUGAGGAACAUGUACGCAACCUUCCUUUAACUGGAGGAUAGCCCCUCGAAAGAGGGAUUAAUACUCCGUAACAUAUUGAUAAGGCAUCUUAUUAAUAUUAUAGCUCCGGCGGUUAAAGAUGGGCGUGCACCUGAUUAGAUAGUUGGCGGGUAAUGGCCCACCAAGUCUGCGAUCAGUAACUGGUGUGAGAGCACGACCAGUCACACGGGCACUGAGACACGGGUCCGACUCCUACGGGAGGCAGCAGUAAGGAAUAUUGGUCAAUGGACGCAAGUCUGAACCAGCCAUGCCGCGUGGAGGAUUAAGGCCCUCUGGGUUGUAAACUCCUUUUAUCUGGGAAGAAAUGCUUUGAUUCUUCAGAGCUUGACGGUACCAGAGGAAUAAGCACCGGCUAACUCCGUGCCAGCAGCCGCGGUAAUACGGAGGGUGCAAGCGUUAUCCGGAUUCACUGGGUUUAAAGGGUGCGUAGGCGGGCAGGUAAGUCAGUGGUGAAAUCUCCGAGCUUAACUCGGAAACUGCCGUUGAUACUACUUGUCUUGAAUAUUGGGAGGUAAGCGGAAUAUGUCAUGUACGGGAAAUGCUUAGAUAUGACAUAGA
rnacentral:rRNA from 1 species